rnacentral:rRNA from 1 species
GCGUAACACGUAUCCAAUCUGCCCGUUACUCGGGGAUAGCCUUCUGAAAGGAAGAUUAAUACCCGAUAGCAUUCAUUGGCGGCAUCGCUUUUGAAUUAAAGAUUAUUGGUAACGGAUGAGGAUGCGUACGAUUAGCUAGUUGGCGGGGGUAACGGCCCACCAAGGCGACGAUCGUUAGGGGUUCUGAGAGGAAGGUCCCCCACACUGGAACUGAGACACGGUCCAGACUCCUACGGGAGGCAGCAGUGAGGAAUAUUGGUCAAUGGCCGUAAGGCUGAACCAGCCAAGUAGCGUGAAGGAUGAAGGUUCUAUGGAUUGUAAACUUCUUUUAUACGGGAAUAAAACCUCCCACGUGUGGGAGCUUGUAUGUACCGUAUGAAUAAGCAUCGGCUAACUCCGUG